rnacentral:rRNA from 1 species
GGGUUAAGUCCCGCAACCGAGCGCAACCCUUGUCAUUAGUUGCUACAUUCAGUUGGGCACUCAAUGAGACUGCCGGUGUCAAACCGGAGGAAGGUGGGGAUGACGUCAAGUCCUCAUGGCCUUUAUGACCAGGGCUACACACGUACUACGAAUGGCCGGUACAAAGGGCAGCGACACGGCGAUGUGAAGCGAAUCCCGAAAAGCCGGUCUCAGUCCGGAUUGGAGUCUGCAACUCGACUCCAUGAAGUUGGAAUCGCUAGUAAUCGCGGAUCAGCACGCCGCGGUGAAUACGUUCCCGGGCCUU